UACAGAGGAUGCAAGCGUUAUCCGGAAUGAUUGGGCGUAAAGCGUCUGUAGGUGGCUUUUUAAGUCCGCCGUCAAAUCCCAGGGCUCAACUCUGGACAGGCGGUGGAAACUACCAAGCUGGAGUACGGUAGGGGCAGAGGGAAUUUCCGGUGGAGCGGUGAAAUGCGUAGAUAUCUGGAGGAACACCGGUGGCGAAGGCGGCAUCCUGGACCAAUUCUGACGCUGAGGAGCGAAAGCCAGGGGAGCAAACGGG
rnacentral:rRNA from 1 species